rnacentral:lncRNA from 1 species
AUCCACAGAAUAAACUGUACCCAAAAAAUGAAAUCAUAUUUUCAAGAACAAAGCAGCUGAUGAAGGUAGAGUGCUAGACCUUCAUCCCAUUAAAAUUUCUUUGGACAUAGAAUACAUACAUCAAAAUACAGGGCAACAACUAAAUGGAUCAGAUGUAAAAACUGAAAAAGGGAAUGCUAAAUGUUUACAGGUUGGAGGAAAGAGAAGUUGGCGCAGAUGAUAUGAGACUACAUCUGAGGACCAAGACCCAAGAAGACAAUAGAAACCAAAUUUCUUCUCAAGAAUACAAAAAAUUAGAUUUAUAAUAUAAUUAAGACUUGAAAUUGCACAAUAAACAUGUUGCAUUCAUUGAGAACGACACUCAGAUAUUGUGUUCUUCCAGAUGAAGACAAAUUCUUCAAAACUAGAUUCUGUAGCAUAACUAUAGAUAAGAAAAUUGAAAUAAUAAUUUAUGCAUAAAAGUGAAAGAAAAUGACAAGAUUUAGGAGGCUAAGA